rnacentral:lncRNA from 1 species
UAGAGAGAGACCUUGAUGGGUUGUCAUGAACUCUCAGAUGGAGCCCUACCCUGGCACGCAGCCACCACGGGAUAUUGGAUGAGCCACUCCACCUGCUUUCUUCUGAGGUCUCCAUGUCUGCAAUGUAGCUGCACCUGGAACUUGGAUUUCCAGUCUCUGGAGUGAAUGGAAUGAGAGAGGAAAGGGUGGCGAGAGCAGAAUCUUCCAGGCAGGGAAGGAAGUACUGGCCUGUGAUAUCUCACCACACUGGACAACUACAUGGAAGAGAUUUAUGUAUGUGUGUGUGAGGAGAGGAGGACCAAAGGGAAAAGUCACCCUUGCUGAAGGUCAAGCUGGACUGAAGGAAUUUCCCUUUGGGCUGAGGUGACUCCAUGACUCACUUAUGUGACUGUAUCAUUUGCCCUUGGUCUGAUAAUCCAUGUUGGUUUUCCUUUCCUGUUGGUAAACAUUAGCUUGAUCAUCACCUGAGUUUCUUAGAAGUGAGGAGGCUUCAGCCUCCAAGGCUUUUCUCUAGAUGUUUCCUGCUUCCUUAAACCUCCAGCGGUGGAAGCAUAUACCAUGACCUCGGAGGUCACAGCUGGCCUUCAAGUCACACCUGUGACUUUAAGGCUUGCAGUUGCAACUGUUAUAUGGAAUUCUAUGCCACGGAGACAAUGCAUUUUGCAUAUUUAUUCAUCUAGUGAUGCUCCUGGUCUUCGAGUGUGUAACUAUACUUAGCAUUCAGCUGUCCACAACUCGGAAGACAAACCUGAAUACACCUUUGCCCUGAACUUGGACUUCCAGCCUCUAGAGUUGUAAGAAAUAAAUUUCUGGUGUGUGUGUGUGUGUGUGUGUGUGUGUGUGUGUGUGUGUGUGUGUGUGUACAAUGGGUGCAAGUUCAUAUGCAUUAAUGUGAGUCCAGAGAUCAACCUUGGAUGUUUUUCCUCAGAUACUGUCUAUCUUGUAUUUUUUUUCUUGAGACAAGGUGGCCUAGAACCCACCAAGUAAGUGGGCCAAUGAGCAUCAGCACCUACCUGUUUCCACCUCCCCAGUGAUAGGAUUACAAAUGUGCCACCAUACCCAGCCCUUUAGGAACAUGGGUUCUGGAAAUGGAACGCAGAACCUCGUGCUUUUAAGGAAUCUACCGAUGCAGCUCAUCCCUUCAGGCCCAGCUUAAACACCACUGUAUCCAUUUGCCAAGAAAUCACCACAUGUGGAUAUGAUGAAGUUUCUCCAAGUUGUUUGAAAUCUUAGACCUUUAAUGUCAUGUGACAGUCCCAUGAAGGUUUUUAUAAAGGAUCAGCCGCUUUUCCAUCUUCUUUAGACCAUAAAUUGAUGCCUUCAUUCAAGAACAGAAUAUUCUAGAUUUGGGUGAUUCACAACAAAAAAGAGUAAGCCUUGAAUGCCAAAAUACCUGAUUUCUUUCACACCAUGCCGCUUUCUUGAGAAAGAGAGGAUUUGGUCUUUUACUAUAGAGGUACUGUCAAUCAUGGCCAAUGAAAUCGCUUUAAAGUUGUUCAUCAUGUGCCUGCUCUCCCCGCAGGAAUUCACACAAAUGGAAGAGGGCUGUGAUUUUGUCCUUCUGUAUUGCUUGACUGAAGAAUCUUUGUUAAUAGGCAAGCCCGCUCUGAACAGCAGAGGGCACUUAUGUACACAAUACGGAAGGUUGCCUGCUUUUGACAAGCAACUGAGCAGGUGUGUGGGCUCCAUGCCAUCACCCGUGAGCCCUGGCAGGGAUGAAUUUGAUGGGUGUAAUCACUGUUCUCAAGAACGCUGUCAUUCAUGCCUUUUAAUGUUUAAAACCCGGCUUCUCAAACUGCGGCUUAGGGAGCCGUAUGGGACCAGGUAACUCAGUGUGAGGGUUGUUAAAAAAACAUCUGGCAAUUAAUUCAAAAUUAAACACACAAUGAGUCUGAGG